AAUGAUUACAUACAUGGUGAUAUUUUUGCAGUAUUUGCAGAUUUAUGAGGCUAGCUGCUGUGCGCAGCUCCUCCAUUUUCUAAGAUCCCAUUAGAACCACUCAAAAUGGUGUAUUUAUUAUAAGACUAAUGAUAGCUGUGUUUCAUUUUGGUGUUUUUGAAUUCUUCAUGAUAUGUAAUAAUAAUUCAUUGGGAUUUUGAUACCUCCCGCUGGGUUAUGGUACAAAAGCCAUUUCAAGUGGCGGCAAAAUUACUGGCCUAAAGCAUAUGUAUUAUUAC
rnacentral:misc_RNA from 1 species